UACGGGGGGAGCAAGCGUUGUUCGGAUUUACUGGGCGUAAAGGGCGCGUAGGCGGCGCAACAAGUCAGCUGUGAAAUCUCCGGGCUUAACCCGGAGCGGCCAGCUGAUACUGUCGUGCUAGAGUGCGGAAGGGGCUACUGGAAUUCUCGGUGUAGCGGUGAAAUGCGUAGAUAUCGAGAGGAACACCUGGUGGCGAAGGCGGGUAGCUGGGCCGACACUGACGCUGGAGGCGCGGAAAGCUAGGGGAGCGAACGGG
rnacentral:rRNA from 1 species